rnacentral:rRNA from 1 species
GUAGGAUGUAAAAGACGACAGACUUAAAAKCUUGAACUUCUACACCCAAUUUUAUCCUUAAUCCAACAUCGAGGUCGCAAUCUUCUUUGUCGAUUUGAACUCUCAAAUGAAAUUACGCUGUUAUCCCUAAGGUAACUUAAUCUUAUAAUCACUAAAAAUGGAUCAACAAUUCAUACAUCAAUGGAUUAAAUCAUAAAGAGUUUAUUUAUUCUUCAUAUCACCCCAAUAAAAUAAACUUAAAUAUUAAAUCCUUAUAUACCACUAAAAAAAGAAUAUAUCUUAUCUAUAAAGCUCUAUAGGGUCUUCUCGUCCUCCAAUAUCAUUUAAGCUUUUUAACUUAAAAAUUAAAUUUUAACUUAUUACAUAUGAGACAGUUAAUACUUCGUCAAACCAUUCAUUCCAGUCCCAAAUUAAAAGACUAAUGAUUAUGCUACCUUUGUACAGUCAAAAUACUGCAGCCCUUCAAUUUAUCAGUGGGCAGGCUAGACUUUAAAUUAUUUACAAAAAGACAUGUUUUUGUUAAACAAGCG